UGCACGCUCCAUAGAUCCAUCUCUGGUUUUCUAAAGAGAUGCUUGAGUCAUUGGUGUGCUAUAGAACGAUAACUCCAGUGUUCAAAACGUGUUGCUAACCAUUUGUUUGCGGCUAUUUGAACAUUGGGGAACAC